rnacentral:rRNA from 1 species
GCACAAGUAGUGGAGCAUGUGGUUUAAUUCGAAGAUACGCGCAGAACCUUACCAACACUUGACAUGUUCGUCGCGACUCUAAGAGAUUAGAGUUUUCGGUUCGGCCGGACGAAACACAGGUGCUGCAUGGCUGUCGUCAGCUCGUGUCGUGAGAUGUUGGGUUAAGUCCCGCAACGAGCGCAACCCUCACUUUUAGUUGCCAUCAUUAAGUUGGGCACUCUGAAAGAACUGCCAGUGAUAAGCUGGAGGAAGGUGGGGAUGACGUCAAGUCCUCAUGGCCCUUACGUGUUGGGCUACACACGUGCUACAAUGGCAUCUACAACAGGAAGCAAAACGGCAACGUUAAGCAAAUCCCGAAAAGAUGCCUCAGUUCGGAUUGCACUCUGCAACUCGAGUGCAUGAAGCUGGAAUUACUAGUAAUCGUGGAUCAGC